ACCCUGGCUUUCGGGUAGGGAGCGUACACAGGUGCUGCAUGGCUGUCGUCAGCUCGUGUCGUGAGAUGUUGGGUUAAGUCCCGUAACGAGCCGCAACCCUUGUCCUUAGUUACCAGCACGUUAUGGUGGGCACUCUAAGGAGACUGCCGGUGACAAACCGGAGGAAGGUGGGGAUGACGUCAAGUCAUCCAUGGCCCUUACGGCCUGGGCUACACACGUGCUACAAUGGUCGGUACAAAGGGUUGCCAAGCCGCGAGGUGGAGCUAAUCCCAUAAAACCGAUCGUAGUCCGGAUCGCAGUCUGCAACUCGACUGCGUGAAGUCGGAAUCGCUAGUAAUCGUGAAUCAGAAUGUCACGGUGAAUACGUUCCCGGGCCUU
rnacentral:rRNA from 1 species